rnacentral:tRNA from 1 species
GUGGGUGUGGCCUAGUUGGUUAGGGCGCCAGAUUGUGGCUCUGGAGGUCGUGGGUUCAAAUCCCAUCAUCCACCCCA